AAAAACAGGGGAUGUGAGUAAUAUGUGUAAUGUGAUGAAUUGAAGAGUGGAGUAUACCAUUGAGUCCAAGAACUCAAAAAGAAAAAGAGAAGAAAACUGUGAGAGAGAGAGAAAGAGCUCACAUCAUCUUUGUUGCUGGAAAAGAGCUUGCUGGAGAGUGAGAAUUCAAGAUAAACAACUAAGAAAGCAAAGGAGAAAUAAAGAAAAGAAAGGAGACUCAAGAAUUUGUGAUGAGAUUUAACCAUUCAACAACUCUAGGUCAUGCACUAUUGUCUGCCUGAUCUGUCUGCCUUAUCUGAUCUACUAGCUGAGCCAUCUGUGAUCAGACGCGUGACCAGGCCUAGAGCUUCUACCUAGACUUUGUUUUGUCAGCCAACCUAUGUGCCUCUUGUGGAGCUUCCGGAUAUGUCAAGUGGUUAUGGCUAUGUGCAUAAAGUUCAAGUCUUGUUUUCUUAUUUUUGCUUAUUUUGUAUUUAGGGCCAAGUCCCUUUCUAUCUAGUCUGUAUAUAUAUGAUGAUGUGUAAAUGUAUGUAUAUAAAGUUUAAAAAUUUUAUGUCUCA